rnacentral:rRNA from 1 species
ACGGAGGGUGCAAGCGUUACUCGGAAUCACUGGGCGUAAAGGAUGCGUAGGCUGGAAAUCAAGUCGAAAGUGAAAUCCAACGGCUCAACCGUUGAACUGCUUUCGAAACUGGUUACCUAGAAUAUGGGAGAGGUAGAUGGAAUUAGUGGUGGAGGGGUUAAUGCCGUAUAUAUCACUAGGAAUAAUGAUUGCGAAGGCGAUCUACUGGAACAUUAUUGACGCUGAGGCGUGAAACAGUGUGAUGCAGUCAG